rnacentral:rRNA from 1 species
AGACGAACCGGACAAACGUUAUUCGGAAUCAUUGGGCUUAAAGGGUGCGUAGGCGGUGCGGAAAGUUGGGUGUGAAAUCCCUCGGCUCAACCGAGGAACUGCGCUCAAAACUUCCGUGCUAGAGUGAGACAGAGGUGAGCGGAACUGAUGGUGGAGCGGUGAAAUGCGUUGAUAUCAUCAGGAACACCGGUGGCGAAGGCGGCUCACUGGGUCUCUACUGACGCUGAGGCACGAAAGCUAAGGUAGCGAACAGGAUUAGAAACCCCAGUAGUCC